rnacentral:rRNA from 1 species
GCUAAACGCGAAGAACCUUACCAGGUCUUGACAUCCCUCUGACCGUCCUAGAGAUAGGGCUUUCCUUCGGGACAGAGGAGACAGGUGGUGCAUGGUUGUCGUCAGCUCGUGUCGUGAGAUGUUGGGUUAAGUCCCGUAACGAGCGCAACCCUUGUCCUUAGUUGCCAUCAUUAAGUUGGGAACUCUAAGGAGACCGCCGGUGACAAACCGGAGGAAGGUGGGGAUGACGUCAAGUCAUCAUGGCCCUUACGUCCUGGGCUACACACGUGCUACAAUGGGCGCUACAAAGGGCUGCAAGACCGCGAGGUGGAGCCAAUCCCUAAAAUCGCCCUCAGUUCAGAUUGCAGUCUGCAACCCGACUGCAUGAAGGUGGAAUCGCUAGUAAUCGCGGAUCAGAACGCCGCGGUGAAUACGUUCCCGGGUCUUGUACACACCG